rnacentral:rRNA from 1 species
UACGAAGGGGGCUAGCGUUGCUCGGAAUCACUGGGCGUAAAGGGUGCGUAGGCGGGUCUUUAAGUCAGGGGUGAAAUCCUGGAGCUCAACUCCAGAACUGCCUUUGAUACUGAAGAUCUUGAGUUCGGGAGAGGUGAGUGGAACUGCGAGUGUAGAGGUGAAAUUCGUAGAUAUUCGCAAGAACACCAGUGGCGAAGGCGGCUCACUGGCCCGAUACUGACGCUGAGGCACGAAAG